CCCGAACUUUGGACUUCGUUACAAUAAAACCCUACCAUUAAUUUCUUCAUUAACUCCUAAUAGAAGUGCAUCAUCAGUUUUCUAAUCAGUCAAAUCAACUCUUAAUGAAACCUUAAUAGCUUGCAGAAGAAAGAGACCAACAACAGGACAACCAUUAAUUAUCAAUUAAUACCCAACAUUCUCCAUCAAAAACUCCAUCAAAAUAACAGAAAAAUAAACAAGUAAAUACCAAACUUCGACAAUCACUUUAAAACCUGCAAAUUAAGCCAAAUUUGAAUCCAUCAAAAUUUCAGAAGUUCAAUACAAGUAAAUACCAAACUUCGACAAUCACUUUAAAACCUGCAAAUUAAGCCAAAUUUGAAUCCAUCAAAAUUUCAGAAGUUCAAU
rnacentral:misc_RNA from 1 species